rnacentral:rRNA from 1 species
GAUGAACGCUGGCGGCGUGCCUAAUACAUGCAAGUCGAGCGAACAGACGAGGAGCUUGCUCCUUCGACGUUAGCGGCGGACGGGUGAGUAACACGUAGGUAACCUACCUAUAAGACUGGGAUAACUUCGGGAAACCGGAGCUAAUACCGGAUAAUAUUUCGAACCGCAUGGUUCGAUAGUGAAAGAUGGCUUUGCUAUCACUUAUAGAUGGACCUGCGCCGUAUUAGCUAGUUGGUAAGGUAACGGCUUACCAAGGCAACGAUACGUAGCCGACCUGAGAGGGUGAUCGGCCACACUGGAACUGAGACACGGUCCAGACUCCUACGGGAGGCAGCAGUAGGGAAUCUGCCGCAAUGGGCGAAAGCCUGACGGAGCAACGCCGCGUGAGUGAUGAAGGUCUUCGGAUCGUAAAACUCUGUUAUUAGGGAAGAACAAACGUGUAAGUAACUGUGCACGUCUUGACGGUACCUAAUCAGAAAGCCACGGCUAACUACGUG